GACGAACGCUGGCGGCGUGCUUAACACAUGCAAGUCGAACGGAAAGGCCCUGCUUUUGUGGGGUGCUCGAGUGGCGAACGGGUGAGUAACACGUGAGUAACCUGCCCUUGACUUUGGGAUAACUUCAGGAAACUGGGGCUAAUACCGGAUAGGAGCUCAUGCUGCAUGGUGGGGGUUGGCAAGUUUAGGCGGUUGGGGAUGGACUCGCGGCUUAUCAGCUUGUUGGUGGGGUAGGGGCUUACCAAGGCUUUGACGGGUAGCCGGGCUGAGAGGGUGACCGGCCACAUUGGGACUGAGAUACGGCCCAGACUCCUACGGUAGGCAACAGAGGGGAAUAUUGCACAAUAGGCGGAAGCCUGAUGCAACAACGCCGCGUGCGGGAUGACGGCCUUCGGGUUGUAAACCGCUUUCGCCUGUGACGAAGCGUGAGUGACGGUAAUGGGUAAAGAAGCACCGGCUAACUACGUG
rnacentral:rRNA from 1 species